CUUGCAUAUAAGUGAUGAUUGGUCGAAAACCAUUUUGGUCCGCGACAUAUUCAACUGUUUGACGUCGACCAUCUGGUAAAAGAACGUAGUAAACACCACGUGCCACAUCGCCAUCACGACUUUCUUUAUGUCCAAAGUCAUUUUCACUUUCAAUGUCAUUCACCAUGUACUCAAAUUCGUACUUGGCAGGAGUCUAAAAUCCAUCAAAAAUACUCCAGAGCCAGAUGCUGGAUAUGUUGCUGUUCCUUCGUAACGGAUCAUUGGACGAUAACCCCCAGCAUCAGCAACAUAAUCGACAAUUUGUGUCCGACCGUCCGGAAGUAAAACAUGCCCAAUCAUCAGGAUGACCAGAUCCACCACCAGCUGGUCUGCCACUCGGAGGUAAAUAUGCAGGACCUUGCGGUUCACCCUGAAUCUGCACCAACAUCAUAACGAAAAGCAGUGCCUGUAGCAUCCACAAAUGUCGAUCAAUUUGAUUUAUCACCCAGCAUUAUUGGUUUCCAACUGAAUAUUUGACAGUUCCAAUACUUUAUUAAUAGUAAGAGAACUAAUGAAAAUAUUAAUCAAAUCUACGAAAGUUUGAUUAAAAAAUUUCCAUCU